ensembl:lncRNA
AGAGCCGCAGGAGGAAGCCUCGACCUCACCGCCUCCAAGCAGUGAGCCAGUGGAGAUUUCUGAGCCUAAGCCAGAACAAGCACCAGAAGCAGAAACCAAGACCUCAGAAGCUCCUCCAGAAGCUGAGCCCAUCACUGAGCAGCCGCAGAAAAACGAAGACGACGGUCAAACUGCUAACGCUGACAAGGCUCCUGAAAAGGAGGAGGAAGCUACUGGGGAUGACUGCGGUGCUCCAGUCAGCUGUGAUGCAUUUAAGAGCUGCCUGAUGCGCAUUCCCUUCACCUCCGAGUGCCUCGACAACAUCAACGCAUUCUUCAAAGAGAACGGCAUCACUCCUCCCCAAAUACCUUCCGUGCUUAAACUACCCACCCGGCUGUCUGACUUUACCAAGUACUUACCCACCCUAC